GACAGAGGAGCCAAGCGUUGUCCGGACUGACUGGGCGUAAAGCGCACGCAGGCGGCGCUGCGCGUGGGGUGUGAAAGCUCUUGGCUUAACUGAGAGAGGCCAUCCCAUACGGCAGUGCUCGAGCGGUGCAGAGGUCCGCGGAAUUGCCGGGUGUAGUGGUGAAAUGCGUAGAGAUCGGCAGGAACACCAGAGGCGAAGGCGGCUAGCUGGACAGGCACUGACACUCAACUACGAAAGCGUGGGGGAGCAAACAGG
rnacentral:rRNA from 1 species